GACGUAGGGCGCGAGCGUUGUCCGGAAUUAUUGGGCGUAAAGAGCUUGUAGGCGGUUUGUCGCGUCUGCUGUGAAAUUUCGGGGCUCAACCCCGAACUUGCAGUGGGUACGGGCAGACUAGAGUGUGGUAGGGGAGACUGGAAUUCCUGGUGUAGCGGUGAAAUGCGUAGAUAUCAAGAGGAACACCUGAGGUGAAGACGGGUUGCUGGGCCGACACUGACGCUGACAGCGCGAAAGCCAGGGGAGCAAACGGG
rnacentral:rRNA from 1 species